AGUUUUGCAGGUUUGCAUCCCAGCGUAUACAAAUUGCUGUGCAAAUCCAUGCAAAACUGA
rnacentral:pre_miRNA from 1 species